AUUCGCUAUAUAGACAGCUACCUUUUCAAUGAAGAACUCUGGUUGGUGAUGGAAUAUGUGGAGGGAUGCACCUUAGCUGCUGUGGUUUCCAAACAAGCUCUUGAGGAAGAGAUGAUAGCCUCUAUCAGUCGGGAGUGCCUGAAAGGACUGGACUUCCUUCAUUCAAUUCUAGUGAUUCACAGUGUAG